CACAGCAAAUUAUCCAGUGUUGAAAUCCUAGUGUUGAGGAAUUUUAGAGUAAAGUGUUAAAGUUGUGGUGUUGAAUUUUUAAGGAUUAACACUAGCUAGUGUAAACAGCCCCCUCUGGCCGGUGUUAAUACGCAGAGUUACCUUUAUUAACACUGUUGAGUGUUAAUAGUCACAUCCGGGACAUUUGCUCGUGUGCGCGCCUGACCCAUCUGAAAUAUUUUUUCACAGACGCCAUUUUCUUUGCUCGCGAUGCGGCUCAUAUGAGAAUGGAAUUCGGCGAAAUAAAUUGUAUAAUCUUACUCAUAAGAUGUGUUUUGUAAUAUCAUAUUGUUUUAUAACGACAUUUAUUUGCUGUGUGCACAUAAACGUUUCUCAAGGACAUUUCCUUUCACUCACGAUGCGGAACAGAUGAGGACGUCAUUUACUCCAAAACUUUUUUCUCAAGAGAGAUAUUUCCUUCCACUCACGAUAGGGAGAAUACGGGGAAUCUGUUAAUUAUCAAAGGAAAACACCAUAAAUUUGAAUUGCUAUGCAGUGCAGACCAUGGCGCAGAGGCGGGUUACUUAGAGAAGGGAGAGACCAGAAAGAGAUAUUUUCUUUCACUCGCGAAGCGGAGCAGACGAGGAAGUUGGUUUUAACAAGGAAAACACCGAAAACAGAGCCCUGCCUCAGCGCAAUGAGAUCAGCAUGGAAUUCAGGAAUUAGGACCUAUUUUCCAAAGCACUUUUGUGAUGCUGCAAGUGGGAGUGGAUUUCUUGCUUAGCUGGAAACUGCAGAGAACCACGUCUUGUCGUCCUGAAAAAAAGAAAGAGACUGCUUUCUCCAAGGAGGUCCAAACGCCAUUGGCACAGACUUUGUUCAGUAAUCAGUAAACUACAUUCAGCCAGGGCCGUCCUUAGAGGGGUGCAACUGGUGCGGUCGCACCAGGCCCCACACUUGAGGGCUAAACGGACUGAAUGAGCCCUCCGUCCGCCAACCUGGGAACACUCCCUACUUCGCACCGGGCCCCGAAUCAGCUAAGUACGGCCCUGCAUUCAUGGUUGAUGGUAAUGAAUGAGAUGCUGUGGUUUAAGCAGAUAAAUGUUAGCACUAUAAUCCUGAUUAAAUUGAGAGUAUAUAUGGACCAAAUACGUUUUUUGUGCCUUUGCACUGAUUUGCUUUGACAUUGUUUUAAUUGUUGUAAAGAAUGUUCUUUAUAUGUAUUGAAAACACUGAAUGUGAAGACAUUUUGGUGCAGGGAAAAAGUUUCAAUUAAAAUAAAUAAAUGUGUAAACAUGCAUUGUUUUGUGGAUUAAUUUAUCUAUUUCUCUCUCUCUCUCUCUCUCUCU
ensembl:lncRNA